GGAGAGAUAGCGAAGAGGCUAAACGCGGCGGACUGUAAAUCCGCUCCUUCGGGUUCGGGGGUUCGAUUCCCUCUCUCUCCA
rnacentral:tRNA from 1 species